AAAGUUUACCUGGACGAGGGCGGGGACUCGGACGACGAGGGCAGGUUCGGACCCGGGAGUGAGCAGCCCAUUCGAGUGGUCGUCCGGAAGCACUCGGGGCCCAGGAAGACGCAGCCGCUGCCCCCGAGACUCGCCAAGUCCUGGUACAGACGAGGACCGACCCGGGACCCGCCCAGAGACCACCAGCCUGACCCCACAGACCCAGACCCCGAGAGGAGGGACACCCAGGAGGAGAGGAGGAGGAGGAGAGCCGAGAGGAGAAGGAGCCCCGCAGGACCUGCCAGGAGCGUCUCAGCAGAGAGGAGUCCGCCUCGGAGCACAGCCGCUGGACUGACGGAGCUGUUCGAAGGAGGAGCGCGGCCCCACAGCAGCGACAAGAGCUGCCCCAGAGGAAGGUGA
rnacentral:lncRNA from 1 species